GCCUUCUUGGCUCAGUUGGCUAGAGCGCAGGUCUCAUAUUAUGGCAUAUGAGUGAUCGACAUGAUCAUCCCAAUCCUGAGGUCGCAAGUUCGAGCCUUGCAGGGGGCA
rnacentral:tRNA from 1 species